UACAGAGGUCUCAAGCGUUGUUCGGAUUCAUUGGGCGUAAAGGGUGCGUAGGCGGCGCGGUAAGUCGGGUGUGAAAUCUCGGAGCUUAACUCCGAAACUGCAUUCGAUACUGCCGUGCUUGAGGACUGGAGAGGAGACUGGAAUUACGGUGUAGCGGUGGAAAUGCGUAGAUAUCGUAAGGAAGACCAGUGGCGAAGGCGGGUCUCUGGACAGUUCCUGACGCUGAGGCACGAAGGUCAGGGGAGCAAACGGG
rnacentral:rRNA from 1 species